rnacentral:rRNA from 1 species
CCUACGGGAGGCAGCAGUGAGGAAUAUUGGUCAAUGGGCGCGAGCCUGAACCAGCCAAGUAGCGUGAAGGAUGACUGCCCUACGGGUUGUAAACUUCUUUUAUAAAGGAAUAAAGUGAGGCACGUGUGCCUUUUUGUAUGUACUUUAUGAAUAAGGAUCGGCUAACUCCGUGCCAGCAGCCGCGGUAAUACAGAGGAUCCGAGCGUUAUCCGGAUUUAUUGGGUUUAAAGGGCGCGUAGAUGGGUUGUUAAGUCAGUUGUGAAAGUUUGCGGCUCAACCGUAAAAUUGCAAUUGAUACUGGCAGCCUAGAGUACAGUUGGGGUAGGCGGAAUUCGUGGUGUAGCGGUGAAAUGCUUAGAUAUCACGAAGAACUCCGAUGGCGAAGGCAGCCUACUAAACAUCCACUGACAUUGAUGCUCGAAAGUGUGGGGAUCAAACGGGAUUAGAUACCCCUGUAGUC